rnacentral:rRNA from 1 species
UACCCGCGCCCCACGUGGUGGUCGAUCAUAUUGAGCCUAAAACGUCCGUAGCCGGUCUUCUAAAUCCUUGGGUAAAUCGGGCAGCUUAACUGUCCGAAGUCCGGGGAGACUGGGAGACUUGGGACCGGGAGAGGUCAGAGGUACUUCUGGGGUAGGGGUAAAAUCCUGUAAUCCUGGAAGGACCACCGGUGGCGAAGGCGUCUGACUAGAACGGAUCCGACGGUGAGGGACGAAGCCCUGGGGCGCAAACGGG